ensembl:snRNA U6 U6 spliceosomal RNA
GUGCUUGCUUCAGCAGCACAUAUGCUAAAACUGGAACGAUACAGAGAUUAGCAUGGCCCCUGUGUAAGGAUGACACACAAAUUCGUGAAGCGUUCCAUAUUUUA